GUGUCAUUGACAAUUUUACAGGCCAAGGAACGUUGCAGCAGCCAGCUGGUGGGCCCAAAGUCUUUCCCUCUGGACCGGCUGAUGGCCAUCUUCUACUCCAUUGUUGAGGAGGAAAUCACCCUGACAGCAAGCCUAUUCACCCAGCUCUCCACACUGCUGUCCCUGCAGCUGCUCAUCCCCAGUGGUGGUGAUGACGCCCUGCAGAACCCCAAGUACAAGUGUGUUGCCCCUCAUGAGGUGGUGCACAGUGUUUGCAAAAGCAUCAACUUUGACUUGUCUCGCUAUACAUACGGUCAAGCCUGAGAAUGUCACUACCUUGAGAAGAGACAUCUGUGAGCAGACAGACAGACAUACAGUCUGUUCCUGCUUAAGUUUUUGAACACCAAUAAAGGAAGGAGAGGGGCAGGAGACUGUUCUUGACAAGGAAAACAUCUAAAUGGCAUUAUAUUAUAAUUAUGAAGAAAAUCAACAGUAUUUUCAUCUUAAUGAGUAGUAGAUCUAACAUAGUGUCUUCAAGAUCUUAAUUUGUGUAAGUUUAAUGGUAUAAAAUAUUGAUAAUUUUGUAGAAAAGCAGUAACAUAAGUUUAUUGGCACAUUUUUAAAAAUUCCUUGGUGUCUAAUGUCAAAUGCUUUAAGAGUUUCUGUUAGGGAGUCACAGUGCCUUUAAAUGGAAGAAAUUUGCUCAACAAAGCCCAAUGUUCCACAAUUAUAAUGAACAAAAUAUUUUAGAUAAGUAUGUCUUUUUCAAUAAUAUAAGUAGAAAUUUACUUAAGGAUGUAUAUUGUUCAGAUUAAAUAAAGGUGCAUUUCCAUGAGGAUCA